rnacentral:rRNA from 1 species
AUUGAACGCUGGCGGCAUGCCUUACACAUGCAAGUCGAACGGUAACAGGGUGCUUGCACCGCUGACGAGUGGCGAACGGGUGAGUAAUGCGUCGGAACGUGCCGAGUAGUGGGGGAUAACGCAGCGAAAGUUGUGCUAAUACCGCAUACGUACUGAGGUAGAAAGUGGGGGACCUUCGGGCCUCACGCUAUUCGAGCGGCCGACGUCUGAUUAGCGAGUAGGUGAGGUAAAGGCUAACCUAGGCGAAGAUCAGUAGCGGGUCUGAGGGGAUGAGCCGCAGCGCUGGGAGUGAGACACGGCCCAGACUCCUCCGGGGGGCAGCAGUGGGGAAUUUUGGACAAUGGGCGAAAGCCUGAUCCAGCCAUGCCGCGUGUCUGAAGAAGGCCUUCGGGUUGUAAAGGACUUUUGUCAGGGAGGAAAUCCCUAGUGCUAAUAACACUGGGGGAUGACAGUACCUGAAGAAUAAGCACCGGCUAACUACGUGCCAGCAGCCGCCGUAA